GACGAACGCUGGCGGCGUGCCUAAUACAUGCAAGUCGAGCGGAAUGAUGAAGAAGCUUGCUUCUUCUGAUUUUAGCGGCGGACGGGUGAGUAACACGUGGGCAACCUACCUUGUAGAUUGGGAUAACUCCGGGAAACCGGGGCUAAUACCGAAUAAUCCAUUUUGCUUCAUGGCGAGAUGUUGAAAGACGGUUUCGGCUGUCACUAUAAGAUGGGCCCGCGGCGCAUUAGCUAGUUGGUAGGGUAAUGGCCUACCAAGGCGACGAUGCGUAGCCGACCUGAGAGGGUGGUCGGCCACACUGGGACUGAGACACGGCCCAGACUCCUACGGGAGGCAGCAGUAGGGAAUCUUCCACAAUGGACGAAAGUCUGAUGGAGCAACGCCGCGUGAGUGAAGAAGGUUUUCGGAUCGUAAAACUCUGUUGUAAGGGAAGAACACGUACGAGAGUAACUGCUCGUACCUUGACGGUACCUUAUUAGAAAGCCACGGCUAACUACGUG
rnacentral:rRNA from 1 species